GUACGUUGAUCCUGGCUCAGGACACGCUGGCGGCGUGCUUAACACAUGCAAGUCGAACGCUGAAGCUGGGUGCUUGCACCUGGUGGAUGAGUGGCGAACGGGUGAGUAUCACGUGAGUAACCUGCCCCUGACUUUGGGAUAAGCCCGGGAAACUGGGUCUAAUACCGGAUAUGACCAUUGGACGCAUGUUGGUGGUGGAAAGAUUUAUUGGUUGGGGAUGGGCUCGCGGCCUAUCAGUUUGUUGGUGGGUAAGGGCCUACCAAGACGACGACGGGUAGCCGGCCUGAGAGGGCGACCGGCCACACUGGGACUGAGACACGGCCCAGACUCCUACGGGAGGCAGCAGUGGGGAAUAUUGCACAAUGGGGGAAACCCUGAUGCAGCGACGCCGCGUGGGGGAUGACGGCCUUCGGGUUGUAAACCUCUUUCAGUAGGGAAGAGGCCUUUGGGUGACGGUACCUGCAGAAGAAGUACCGGCUAACUACGUG
rnacentral:rRNA from 1 species